rnacentral:rRNA from 1 species
UACGGGGGGGGCAAGCGUUGUUCGGAAUUACUGGGCGUAAAGGGCUCGUAGGCGGCCAACUCAGUCGGACGUGAAAUCCCUCGGCUUAACCGGGGAACUGCUUCCGAUACUGGAUGGCUUGAGUGUGGGAGAGGGAUGCGGAAUUCCAGGUGUAGCGGUGAAAUGCGUAGAUAUCUGGAGGAACACCGGUGGCGAAGGCGGCAUCCUGGACUACUACUGACGCUGAGUGAACGAAAGCUAGGGGAGCAAACAGG